AUGCUCUCUUUGGCAGCAUAUAUACUAAAAUUGGAACGAUACAAAAAGAUUAUCAUGGCCCCUGCACAAUGAUGACAUGCAAAUUCGUGAUGUGUUCCAUAUAUUU
rfam:Neotoma lepida isolate 417 scaffold_757, whole genome shotgun sequence.